rnacentral:rRNA from 1 species
CUCCGUAACUUCGGGAGAAGGAGGACCCCAUCAGGGUGAAGGACCUCGCGUCCGGAGCUCGAAGGGGUGGCACAGACUAGGGGAAAGCGACUGUUUACUAAAAACACAGCAGCGUGCGAAGUCGUAAGACGAUGUAUACGCUGUGACGCCUGCCCAAUGCCGGAAGGUUAAAGGGAAAGGUUAGCCCGCAAGGGCGAAGCUUUGAACUGAAGCCCCGGUGAAUGGCGGCCGUAACUAUAACGGUCCUAAGGUAGCGAAAUUCCUUGUCGGGUAAGUUCCGACCUGCACGAAUGGCGUAACGACUUUCCUACUGUCUCAACCACAGACCCGGCGAAAUUGAAGUACGAGUAAAGAUGCUCGUUAGCUGCAGAAGGACGGUAAGACCCCGUGGACCUUUACUAUAGCUUGAUGUUGAGUUUUGUUAUGUGUUGUGUAGGAUAGGUGGGAGACUUGGAAGCAUUGGCGCCAGCCAGUGUGGAGUCAACCUUGAAAUACCACCCUGCUCAUGACGGAGCUCUAACCCACGUCCCUGAUCGGAUGGGGAACAGCGUC